GCCACUGUAGCUCAACGGUAGAGCAGCGGUUUUGUAAACCGCAGGUUGGGAGUUCGAAUCUCCCCGGUGGCU
rnacentral:tRNA from 1 species